GGCUGCUCCGCCACCAGGCCUUGAGCGGCUCACUCGGCUGGCCUCCUUUUUUUUUAAUUUCAUUUCUCAUAUUUUCAAUAAAGAAAAUAAAGGGAAAAUCCCUUCAAAUGAACAGCAGAGAAAGGGAGGAGAAUCGAUCGAUCAUCGACCACGCUCAUGCCCACGCCCGCUUCUUCGGGAUAAGAUCGAGCGUCUUGACUUUAUCUAUCCUGGCGGCGACGAUGUAGUCGUUGACGGUGAGGCUGUCGCCGGCGGCGGAGGGCGUGGAGAGCUCGGCCGUCACCUGGUUGGGGGCCUCGAACGCCAGGGUCGCCGGGGCGUGUCCGGCGCCGUGGAGCGCGGCGUUGAUCCUGGCGAUGAGCUCCUGGCCGCAGGUCUCGUCGCGCACCUUCCAGACGCACUGCAGCCGCGCGGGACGCUGCUCGUCGCCGUCGCCGUCGGAGAGGACGAGCCUCCACCCGACGACCUUGAAGAGGAGCCUGCGCGCGUCGUCGAGGGAGAGCGGCUCCGCGUCGGGCUGCAGCGGGAGGCUCGCGAGGGAGAGCGCGGAGAGGGUGGGGAUGAGGAUCUGGUGGAGCGUGUCCACGUUGCCCAGCACCUUCUCCCCAAACUGGCUCUCGAUCUCCUCCGGGAAGGGGUCGCGCGCGCCCAAGUCGCCCAGCAGGUCGGCCAUCGCCACCACGCAGCCACGCGCCCUGCCCCGGCGGCUCCCAACUGCGACGCCCGGCCGGAUGAAGCUUGCGCUGCUGCAGCGGCAUGUGGAGGCCGCGGGUGCAGCUGCUGGCGGGGCGAGGGAGAGCCUGAGCGCCAUUGGAUUGGGUGGAAACGGAGCCCAAUGGAUGGCUCAGGAUGCACACUGGCAGUAGCUGGGAAUGGAUUAGUGCCCGGGGCAGCGGGGCUGCCUUUAUAUCGUUAAACCUCUUUUUUUCCAGCUUCUAGUCCCUUCUGCAACCUCAACGCCACUCAUUCUCGUCAUCUUCUUCCUGCUCCGUGGAGCCCUCAUCCUCAUGUGGACAUCAAUUGAACAGAUUAAUUUGCUUAUGAACAGAUAGUUCAAUUCUGAAUACAGUCACUUGCAGAUCACAGCA
rnacentral:misc_RNA from 1 species